rnacentral:rRNA from 1 species
AGAGUUUGAUCCUGGCUCAGGAUGAACGUUGGCGGCGUGCCUAAUACAUGCAAGUCGAACGGUAAGGCGCCCUUCGGGGUGCUGUAGAGUGGCGGACGGGUGAGUAACACGUAACUGAUCUGCCCCAUAGACUGGGAUAACCUUUGGAAACAGAGGCUAAUACGGGAUAAGCUCGCGGUAGUUAGAGAGCCGUGAGGGAAUGUUUAGGCGCUAUGGGAUGAGGUUGCGGGCCAUCAGCUAGUUGGUGAGGUAAAGGCUCACCAAGGCGAUGACGGUUAGGGGAUCUGAGAGGGUGGCCCCCCACACUGGGACUGAGACACGGCCCAGACUCCUACGGGAGGCAGCAGUAAGGGAUAUUGCACAAUGGACGGAAGUCUGAUGCAGCGACGCCGCGUGGGUGAAGAAGGUUUUCGGAUCGUAAAGCCCUUUUCUAUGUGACGAGGAAGGACGGUAGCAUAGGAAUAAGUGUCGGCUAACUACGUGCCAGCAGCCGCGGUAAAACGUAGGACACGAACGUUAUCCGGAGUUACUGGGCGUAAAGCGCGCGUAGGCGGUUGGUUAAAUUGCCUAUGAAAGGUAUCGGCUAAACUGGUAUAAGUUGGGCGAAACUGGCUAACUAGAGAGAAAUAGAGGGAAGUAGAAUUCCGGGUGUAGUGGUGAAAUGCGUAGAUAUCCGGAGGAAUACCGGUGGCGAAGGCGGCUUCCUGGAUUUCCACUGACGCUGAAGCGCGAAAGCGUGGGUAGCGAACGGGAUUAGAAACCCCGGU